rnacentral:tRNA from 1 species
AGUACAGUAAAAGUCCAUGUUACGGCCAUGGAAGAGAUAUUAAGCUAUCCUGUGCUU